rnacentral:rRNA from 1 species
GGACCCAACUGCUAUCAAAGUGGGACUCCUUAUGCGAGUCAACUUACCAAUAUGUGGAAUACGGCUCAUUAACACGUACUCAACAUGCCCAGGGGAACGUGAAUACCCUCAGGGAAACUGAGGAUAAACCGCGAUAAGUCACUGCUUCUGGAAUGGGAAGUGACUUAAAUCUAUAGGGCCCCUGAAUUGAACUGCGGCCAAUCAGGCUGUUGGUGAGGUAAGGGCCCACCAAACCUGUAACCGGAACGGGCUCUGAAAGGAGGAGCCCGGAAAUGGGCACUGAAACAAGGGCCCAGGCCCUAUGGGGCGCAGCAGGCGCAAAACCUCUGCAAUAGGCAAAAGCCUGACAGGGUUACUCUGAGUGAUUUCCGUUAAGGAAAUCUUUUGGCACCUCUAAAAAUGGUGCAAAAUAAGGGGUGGGCAAGUCGGGUGU